UUCCGGUUGAUCCUGCCGGAGGCUACCGCUAUUGGAGUUCGAUUAAGCCAUGCGAGUCGCGAGUCUUAGGGACUCGGCGUACCGCUCAGUAACACGUGGGUAACCUGCCCUAUGCUGGGGGAUAACCUCGGGAAACUGAGAAUAAUACCCCAUAGUUCACCACGCCUGGAACGGUGGGUGGAUGAAAGCUCCGGCGGCAUAGGAUGGGCCUGCGGCGUAUCAGGUUGUAGGGGGUGUAAUGUACCCUCUAGCCAUCUACGCGUACGGGUGUUGGGAGACAUCGCCCGGAGAUGGAUUCUGAGACACGAAUCCAGACCCUACGGGGUGCAGCAGGCGCGAAAACUUGGCAAUGCGAGCAAUCGUGACCAGGGAACUCCAAGUGCAUCGGGUAAGACCGAUGCUUUUCUUGACUCUUCAAAGGUCUUGGAAUAAGGGGUGGGUAAGGACGGUGCCAGCCGCCGCGGUAAUACCGGCGCCUCAAGUGGUAGUCGCUUUUAUUGGGCCUAAAACGUCCGUAGCCGGUUUGGUACAUUCGUGGGUAAAUCAAGGCGCUCAACGUCUUGAAUUCUGCGAGCACGGCCAGACUUGGGACCGGGUGAGGUGUGGGGUACUCUCAGGGUAGGGGUAAAAUCCUGUCAUCCUGAGAGGACCACCUGUUGCGAAGGCGCCACACUAGAACGGAUCCGACGGUCAGGGACGAAGCCUAGGGGCACGAACCGGAUUAGAUACCCGGGUAGUCCUAGGUGUAAACGCUGUGGACUUGAUGUUGGGGGCGCUCCGAGCGCACUCAGUGUCGAAGCGAAGGUGAUAAGUCCACUGCCUGGGGAGUACGGUCGCAAGGCUGAAACUUAAAGGAAUUGGUGGGGGAGCACCGCAACCUGAGGAUUGUGCGGUUUAAUUGGAUUCAACGCCGG
rnacentral:rRNA from 1 species